rnacentral:lncRNA from 1 species
CUUGAACCCCGAGGCUUAAGCUUAAGCCACCCUCCCACCUCAGCCUCCCAGGUCAGCCUCCUCAGCUGACAGGCAUGCGCCACCACACCCCCAAAACUUGUACCUGUUCAGAACUUACCAGGCUCCAGGCAUUUCAUCUCAUUUUGCUUCAUACAUCCUGGAAGCAAGGCUGAGGGGCUUGGCCGAGCUCACCAGGGGCCGAGGAGGUGCAGUUCUCGCCUGUGCCCAGCAGGCGGACGGCUGGGAGCCCUGCCAGCUCUGAACGUUGCUCCUGGCUGCGCUGAGAACUGCGGCCAGGGCUGGGCUCCUUGUUAUCAUCAGGUAAAUCUCUG